rnacentral:misc_RNA from 1 species
CAAGGUAUAGUUCAUAACAAUCUCUCGUCACAAUUCUAUGAGAAAGAAUACGAAAUUGUGGCAUUGUAACUCUCAUGAAGUUUUUAAAACCCUCUUUCUCAACAAAACUAAAUGGUAGCUCGUCAAUAAUUCUCAUUUUGGCUAAAGCUUUCCUACUUUGUGCUUGGUCAAAUUUUCAAGUGCUAAUGACCCCUUCCUUUGCUCCCGUUG